AACGAACGCUGGCGGCGUGCUUAACACAUGCAAGUCGAACGUGAUUGAGAGCUUGCUCUCAUGAAAGUGGCGCACGGGUGAGUAACACGUGGAUAAUCUGCCUGGCGAUUCGGGAUAACACUUCGAAAGGGGUGCUAAUACCGGAUAAGCCCACGGUCUCUUCGGAGAGCGCGGGAAAAGGGGGCCUCUGUAUAUGCUCCUGUCGCGAGAUGAGUCCGCGGCCCAUUAGCUAGUUGGUAGGGUAAUGGCCUACCAAGGCUACGAUGGGUAGCUGGUCUGAGAGGAUGAUCAGCCACACUGGAACUGAGACACGGUCCAGACUCCUACGGGUGGCUG
rnacentral:rRNA from 1 species